rnacentral:rRNA from 1 species
AAAUUGAAGAGUUUGAUCAUGGCUCAGAUUGAACGCUGGCGGCAGGCCUAACACAUGCAAGUCGAACGGUAACAGGAAGAAGCUUGCUUCUUUGCUGACGAGUGGCGGACGGGUGAGUAAUGUCUGGGAAACUGCCUGAUGGAGGGGGAUAACUACUGGAAACGGUAGCUAAUACCGCAUAAUGUCGCAAGACCAAAGAGGGGGACCUUCGGGCCUCUUGCCAUCGGAUGUGCCCAGAUGGGAUUAGCUAGUAGGUGGGGUAACGGCUCACCUAGGCGA